ACGAACUGGAUCUGUUCAUAGUACGUCUGUCUCCUUAAGUUCUAAGCAGACAAGAACCUAUGUCUGGUGGAUCAAUCACUGCCUUGUGACUAGAGCGUGAUUAACGGUUCAAUGUACCCGAUGGUCUGCGGCUGUAGAGGAUCGUUCUUGGUAGGCUUGUGCUGCUGGGAUGGUCGCAUGGCAUGUCAGACAAACU
rfam:Cucumis melo, WGS project CAJI01000000 data, contig: 05885